UUUCUUUCUAAAGAGAAAUGGCUUUUGUGGUUAACAGAUUACUGGCGAGUUGGGUAGUGUACAAGAUGCUUUAUAUAAUGUGACUGGUAGAUUGCGAGAUAAUAACCUCUUUACCGGUAGAAUAUCAAAUGGAGCUGGAACUAGGAGCAGUUCUUCUGUAAUAACUGAGAUGAAUCCCUAUGAAAGAGCAGGAGAUCCUUCCUCUUUUGGUUUGCAUACAUCUGUAGGUGUUUCUCAUAGGCAUACUACUUUAACACAGAGUAUGGAUCAUCUUGGACUUUCCCAUAAUUAUGAUCAUCCCCCAUCGCCAAAUUUAUGGGCAUCACAGGCUGUAGGUGGGGUGAACCCGAGGAGCAUGGACGUUGGUAGAGGACUGACUUCUGUUCAAGGUGGCGUAGAAUUUGGCAGGUUUGUAGUGCACACAGCUCUCUAAAUACCCUAUGAUAACACAUGGCAUGACCAAUGAGAAUGGGAUGGGACCUCACUAUAAUUAGGUUCCAAGGAUGAUUUAUGUCUUCUACAAAGAUGAGGAUGAUGAAUUCUCAGCCAUUUUAUUUUAAAC